rnacentral:snoRNA from 1 species
AGGCCAUGGUGUGGGCAAACUCGUUGGAGCUCUUUAUAUUAUAGCGAUCCCAUGCCUCAUAUAGGGAUUCAUUUUCAUGUUGGGUGAAUGAGGUUAUUUCUUUGAUAAGCCU